UAAUUCUCUAGUGGCGCACGGGUGAGUAACACGUGAGUAACCUGCCUCCGAGAGCGGGAUAGCCCUGGGAAACUGGGAUUAAUACCGCAUAGUAUCGAAAGAUUAAAGCAGCAAUGCGCUUGGGGAUGGGCUCGCGGCCUAUUAGUUAGUUGGUGAGGUAACGGCUCACCAAGGCGAUGACGGGUAGCCGGUCUGAGAGGAUGUCCGGCCACACUGGAACUGAGACACGGUCCAGACACCUACGGAAGGCAGCAG
rnacentral:rRNA from 1 species